rnacentral:rRNA from 1 species
CCUACGGGAGGCAGCAGUGGGGAAUAUUGGGCAAUGGACGCAAGUCUGACCCAGCAACGCCGCGUGAAGGAAGAAGGCUUUCGGGUUGUAAACUUCCUUUAAGGGGGAAGCGCAGAAGACGGUACCCCUUGAAUAAGCCAUGGCUAACUACGUGCCAGCAGCCGCGGUAAUACGUAGGUGGCAAGCGGUGUCCGGAUUUACUGGGUGUAAAGGGCGUGCAGCCGGGAAGACAAGUCAGAUGUGAAAUCCCGUGGCUCAACCGCGGAACUGCAGUUGAAACUGUUUUUCUUGAGUAUCGGAGAGGUAAGCGGAAUUCCUGGUGUAGCGGUGAAAUGCUUAGAUAUUAGGAAGAACACCGGUGGCGAAGGCAGAUUACUGGACGACAACUGACGGUGAGGCGCGAAAGCGUGGGUAGCAAACAGGAUUAGAUACCCUUGUAGUC